rnacentral:lncRNA from 1 species
UGGAGUCCGUGUAAUUUGAAUUGGAGUCCCCAAAAAAAUAUCUUAAUUUAUUUUUAAGUUAUGGAUCUUUUAUGAGUACUUUCAAACACAUAUUUCAACACUUUAACUUCUUUUUUCUUUUGUUCCCAACUAUAGCACUAUGACCUCCUUUCUAUUUCUUUCUUUUGCUAUGGUACUAGUAACCUUGUCUCCAUUAACUUUUUUAUUUAGCCAAUGAACUCAUUUCGUCCAUUUCAUUUUGUAGCGAGGCUGAAGAGAUUCCGUCGGAGGUGUACCCUAGAAGAGUCGAAGCUUUGAUACAUGAAAUAUUGUCUACUUGAAAAAUAACUAGAGUUCAGUAGCAAGCAUUAUCUUUCCAACAACCAAAAUAUUGUGUACUUGAAAAAUGUCUCAUGGGACAAGAGUGUAAGUAUAUGAAAUAUUUUCUUCCUCACAUACGGUUUCUUUGUGUUUGCUAUUUUUUUAAAUUCAAUGAAAUUAUUUUAGCAUCCA